UACGUAGGAGACGAGCGUUGUCCGGAGUUACUGGGCGUAAAGGGUGCGCAGGCGGCCUGGCGCGUCGCGAGUGAAAUCUCCUGGCUCAACUGGGAGGGUGGUCGCGAGACGGCUGGGCUUGAGGCUCGGUGAGGGGCGUGGAAUUCCGGGUGGAGCGGUGAAAUGCGUAGAUAUCAGGAGGAACACCUGCGGUGUAGACGGCUUACUGGACCAUCACUGACGCUGAGGCACGAAAGCGUGGGUAGCAAACAGG
rnacentral:rRNA from 1 species